rnacentral:rRNA from 1 species
AGAGUUUGAUCCUGGCUCAGGAUGAACGCUGGCGGCGUGCCUAAUACAUGCAAGUCGAACGCUUCACUUCGGUGAAGAGUGGCGAACGGGUGAGUAAUACAUAAGUAACCUGGCAUCUACAGGGGGAUAACUGAUGGAAACGUCAGCUAAGACCGCAUAGGUGUAGAGAUCGCAUGAACUCUAUAUGAAAAGUGCUACGGGACUGGUAGAUGAUGGACUUAUGGCGCAUUAGCUGGUUGGUAGGGUAACGGCCUACCAAGGCGACGAUGCGUAGCCGACCUGAGAGGGUGACCGGCCACACUGGGACUGAGACACGGCCCAGACUCCUACGGGAGGCAGCAGUAGGGAAUCUUCGGCAAUGGGGGCAACCCUGACCGAGCAACGCCGCGUGAGUGAAGAAGGUUUUCGGAUCGUAAAGCUCUGUUGUAAGUCAAGAACGAGUGUGAGAGUGGAAAGUUCACACUGUGACGGUAGCUUACCAGAAAGGGACGGCUAACUACGUGCCAGCAGCCGCGGUAAUACGUAGGUCCCGAGCGUUGUCCGGAUUUAUUGGGCGUAAAGCGAGCGCAGGCGGUUUGAUAAGUCUGAAGUUAAAGGCUGUGGCUCAACCAUAGUUCGCUUUGGAAACUGUCAAACUUGAGUGCAGAAGGGGAGAGUGGAAUUCCAUGUGUAGCGGUGAAAUGCGUAGAUAUAUGGAGGAACACCGGUGGCGAAAGCGGCUCUCUGGUCUGUAACUGACGCUGAGGCUCGAAAGCGUGGGGAGCGAACAGGAUUAGAUACCCUGGUAGUCCACGCCGUAAACGGUGGAUGCUGGAUGUGGGGCCCGUUCCACGGGUUCCGUGUCGGAGCUAACGCGUUAAGCAUCCCGCCUGGGGAGUACGGCCGCAAGGCUAAAACUCAAAGAAAUUGACGGGGGCCCGCACAAGCGGCGGAGCAUGCGGAUUAAUUCGAUGCAACGCGAAGAACCUUACCUGGGCUUGACAUGUUCCCGACCGAUCCGGAGACGGGUCUUCCCUUCGGGGCGGGUUCACAGGUGGUGCAUGGUCGUCGUCAGCUCGUGUCGUGAGAUGUUGGGUUAAGUCCCGCAACGAGCGCAACCCUCGCCCUGUGUUGCCAGCACGUCGUGGUGGGAACUCACGGGGGACCGCCGGGGUCAACUCGGAGGAAGGUGGGGAUGACGUCAGAUCAUCAUGCCCCUUACGUCCAGGGCUUCACGCAUGCUACAAUGGCCGGUACAGCGGGAUGCGACAUGGCGACAUGGAGCGGAUCCCUGAAAACCGGUCUCAGUUCGGAUUGGAGUCUGCAACCCGACUCCAUGAAGGCGGAGUCGCUAGUAAUCGCGGAUCAGCAACGCCGCGGUGAAUGCGUUCCCGGGCCUUGUACACACCGCCCGUCAAGUCAUGAAAGUGGGCAGCACCCGAAGCCGGUGGCCUAACCCCUUGUGGGAUGGAGCCGUCUAAGGUGAGGCUCGUGAUUGGGACUAAGUCGUAACAAGGUAGCCGUACCGGAAGGUGCGGCUG